rnacentral:rRNA from 1 species
AUUGAACGCUGGCGGAAUGCUUACACAUGCAAGUCGAGCGGCAGCGCGGGGGCAACCCUGGCGGCGAGCGGCGAACGGGUGAGUAACAUAUCGGAACGUACCCAGUCGUGGGGGAUAACUAUCCGAAAGGAUAGCUAAUACCGCAUACGUCCUGAGGGAGAAAGCGGGGGAUCGCAAGACCUCGCGCGAUUGGAGCGGCCGAUAUCGGAUUAGCUAGUUGGUGGGGUAAAGGCUCACCAAGGCGACGAUCCGUAGCGGGUCUGAGAGGACGACCCGCCACACUGGAACUGAGACACGGUCCAGACUCCUACGGGAGGCAGCAGUGGGGAAUUUUGGACAAUGGGGGCAACCCUGAUCCAGCCAUUCCGCGUGAGUGAAGAAGGCCUCGGUUGUAAG